rnacentral:rRNA from 1 species
AGCGAACGUUAGCGGCGCGCCUAACACAUGCAAGUCGCACGAGAAAGGGCUUCGGCCCCAGUAAAGUGGCGCACGGGUGCGUAACACGUAGGCAAUCUUCCCUCGAGCGGGGGAUAACGUUUCGAAAGAGACGCUAAUACCGCAUAAGACCACGAGCUCCUCGGAGCUUGCGGUCAAAGCUGGCCUCUUCUUGAAAGCUAGCACUCGAGGACGAGCCUGCGGCCCAUCAGCUAGUUGGUAGGGUCACGGCCUACCAAGGCGAAGACGGGUAGCUGGUCUGAGAGGAUGAUCAGCCACACUGGAACUGAAACACGGUCCAGACUCCUACGGGAGGCAGCAGUGGGGAAUAUUGGACAAUGGGCGAAAGCCUGAUCCAGCGACGCCGCGUGAGUGAUGAAGGCCUUCGGGUUGUAAAGCUCUGUUGAGGGAGAAGAAAACGGUCACGGCGAACAGGCGUGGCCCUUGACGGUAUCCCUUUAGAAAGCACCGGCUAACUCUGUGCCAGCAGCCGCUGUAACAC